AUAUAACAAAUAUUAUUAGAUAAAAAGGCUUUUUCGUCAGUACUAUCACAGGUUGCGGCAUCUGACUCUUCUGAAGAAAGAAUUUUUCUACCAAAGGAGCAACAACAAAAACUGGACUCACAAAGACAGAGCAUUUUUUCAUCAUAAAGAAUAUUCAGUAGAAGUUCCAAGAAUUACAAACAUUUGCUUCGAUCAUAAUGGAUGUGACAUUAACUGAGAAUCUGAGACCACAACUGAAAAGAGCCCUUUCUGAACCCUGCGCUUCAACUCUGGAUAGUUUCUUUCUUCAGCAGCCAACUUGGCUGCAAAGAAUCCCAAACUUUGAAUUUUAUAAAGUGUGAGUAAGUACUGAAUUUCACUACUUUGUAAAUAUCAUUUCUUCAGGGUAAAAUGUAACAAUAACAGUCGAAUCAGGUGGCUUAGGAGUGACAGCUUUAGACUUGAAGAAUGGAUUGGCCAAUUCUAAGAAUUUUAAGAUUUAUAAUGGACUUGUGCUUUUGUGCAUUUGAAAAAAAAAAAAAAA